GACGAACGCUGGCGGCGUGCUUAACACAUGCAAGUCGAACGAUGAAGCUAGAGCUUGCUCUGGUGGAUUAGUGGCGAACGGGUGAGUAACACGUGAGUAACCUGCCCCGAACUCUGGGAUAACUGCUGGAAACGGUAGCUAAUACUGGAUACGACCAACGAAGGCAUCUUCUGUUGGUGGAAAGAAUUUCGGUUCGGGAUGGACUCGCGGCCUAUCAGCUUGUUGGUGAGGGGACGGCUCACCAAGGCGACGACGGGUAGCCGGCCUGAGAGGGUAAUCGGCCACACUGGGACUGAGACACGGCCCAGACUCCUACGGGAGGCAGCAGUGGGGAAUAUUGCACAAUGGGCGCAAGCCUGAUGCAGCAACGCCGCGUGAGGGACGACGGCCUUCGGGUUGUAAACCUCUUUUAGUAGGGAAGAAGCGAAAGUGACGGUACCUGCAGAAAAAGCACCGGCUAACUACGUGCCAGCCGCCGCGGUAA
rnacentral:rRNA from 1 species